UGUCGACGUUCCGCGGUAAGGAGAGGUGAAACCAGAAAGAAGACUUCCCUCCGAAGGGUAGACGGGCCUGCUGGGAUACUGAGGGAGGACUGGGUCAGGCGCUGGGCGGGGUUUUCGCAGCUCCGCGGAACGCCGGGAAGGGGUCAAGUCCAGAUGAGGGUUCCGGUUCCGGUGCAGACGGCGGCCUCGGUGUUGCCACGGCUGUGUGGUUGGCCGGUACCUGGAUGGUGAGCUCGCGUUGUUGGAGGGGCUGGAGUUGGCCUCGGUCCUGCGUUGUCCGCUUAGAGUCAUUGAUUCCAGGUAAAUCAGAGGAACAGACAUCAUGAACAGAAAUAAUACAGGAAGUGAUGUGAUGUGGAAGUUUAACUGUUGUUCCAGAAGUCCAGCAUCUGUGGCUCAUAACUUUAGGAACUGUAUCAUUUGCAAGGUCACCUAACUUUUACUCAUAUUGGGUUGGCCAGAAAGUUCAUUCGGUUUUCCUGUAAGCUGAGAGAACCUGCACAAACUUUUGGCCAACCCAAUACUUACAGUAGAUUCCAUAACGCAGACUGUUACUAUGUUCCAGAGACUUCUGAGAAGGUGCCUAGACCACAGAAUUUCAGCAGCAAGGAGCCAGGGCUGUUGUGUGUUGCAUGUUAGGACAGUUUAUCUGUUGGCAGGAGUCUGUGUCUCCCUCUGAUAAUCUCUGAGCUCGCAGCCAGACGAACACUGAGAAAAUUUUAUUGUUUUCCUUUGAAUGAUGACUAAGAUAUAUUACCAAGGCCAUAAGUACUCUUUAUGUUGAGUCAGAAUUUCACUUCAUACUUCAGCCUUUGGGCCUUAAUAAUUACAUGCUUCAGAAUUAACUAAUACAGUUAUGUAAAGUUUAAUAAUAAAAUAAAAUUAAAAAAAAUAAAAUAAAAUAAAAAAGAAAAAAAAAAAAAAAA